GGGAGUGAAAAAGAACCUGAAACCGUGUACGUACAAGCAGUGGGAGCACAGAGCAAUCUGUGUGACUGCGUACCUUUUGUAUAAUGGGUCAGCGACUUAUAUUCUGUAGCAAGGUUAACCGAAUAGGGGAGCCGAAGGGAAACCGAGUCUUAACUGGGCGUUAAGUUGCAGGGUAUAGACCCGAAACCCGGUGAUCUAGCCAUGGGCAGGUUGAAGGUUGGGUAACACUAACUGGAGGACCGAACCGACUAAUGUUGAAAAAUUAGCGGAUGACUUGUGGCUGGGGGUGAAAGGCCAAUCAAACCGGGAGAUAGCUGGUUCUCCCCGAAAGCUAUUUAGGUAGCGCCUCGUGAAUUCAUCUCCGGGGGUAGAGCACUGUUUCGGCAAGGGGGUCAUCCCGACUUACCAACCCGAUGCAAACUGCGAAUACCGGAGAAUGUUAUCACGGGAGACACACGGCGGGUGCUAACGUCCGUCGUGAAGAGGGAAACAACCCAGACCGCCAGCUAAGGUCCCAAAGUCAUGGUUAAGUGGGAAACGAUGUGGGAAGGCCCAGACAGCCAGGAUGUUGGCUUAGAAGCAGCCAUCAUUUAAAGAAAGCGUAAUAGCUCACUGGUCGAGUCGGCCUGCGCGGAAGAUGUAACGGGGCUAAACCAUGCACCGAAGCUGCGGCAGCGACACUGUGUGUUGUUGGGUAGGGGAGCGU
rnacentral:rRNA from 1 species